rnacentral:tRNA from 1 species
GCCCUCAAAGCUCAAAAGGACGAGCACCUGUCCCGUAAACAGGGGGAUCCGGUUCGAUUCCGGAUGGGGGCU